rnacentral:ncRNA from 1 species
GCCAACGAGUAUCUUCCUUGUUCGAAAGAUCUGGGUAAUCUUGUUAAACUCUGUCGUGCUGGGGAUAGAGCAUUGCAAUUAUUGCUCUUCAACGAGGAAUUCCUAGU